GAGAAGCUUAUGAAUCCAGACUGAUGCAAAGGUAACUGCUACCCUUCAAUAUUCGACCCUAUCUUCUAUCUGAAGACUCUUACUAAUUGUUGGAGACUCAUUUACCAUCAAAGGCAAUUGGUGGAGAAAGAGAUUGCAGUUGUGAGAGUGGGAGGGAAGGAAGACUUUGGAUUUCAUGCUGCUGACUGCAGCAAACCACAACAGACACAGGUCCCAUGGUAUUCAUGCAAGCCACUUACAACAUCAGUCUCCCUGCUCUUGCAAGUGAACCUACUUGUAAGGACAUUUCCUUGGGGCUAAUGGCUUUAUGAAUGUUGACAUCUGUUGCAUGCAGUAAAUUGAAGCUAUUUUCUUCCCUGGUGUAGCACAGCCACUACAGAAACACUGGAAAUCAGGAUGACAUUCAGCUUUCUUGCCAGUCAGUUGAAUGAAGGAACUAAAAGUAUUUUCCAGCAAGACCACUUCUGGUGCAUCAGUUCCAAGUUCUUCUGGCAGGAAAGAUCUUCCUGUGGUCACACAGCAUCUGACAUCUUCCCCAUCAUGUGCCCCAUGUUACAAAGCCCACUGCAUUGAAGAUGAAACCACAGGGAUUAGUCCUGAUUGUACAAUGCCAUGUGAACACGAAGGAUGUUUAUAGUUUAAAAAAUAUUUCCUCUUUCUCCCGGGCUACAUUUUUCAGACCAAUCCUGACCUGUUUUGUAAAAGAAGAUAUAUUCAGUAAGACCACAGACCAUCCACAGAGCUUUUUGGUCUCCAACAAUCUCCAGUUAAUGACUGCCUGUUGGGAAAAAGCAUAAAAAGGAAAAUGUACACUGAUGUUCCCACAUUUUAGCUUUCCAGCUUCCUACAAUCUGUGGCUAUGCAGUUUCCUGACCUGGGGGUUAUUUCUUUGUCUAUCACUCUGUGGUGGAUUUUCCUUCCAUGUUUUUAUCUAAUUGCUUUUUGAACCCGUGAAAACUUAUGACACUCACAACAUCCCAUGGCAAUGAGUUUCAUAGUUUAAUUACGUGCUUCAUGAAAAAGUGUUUUCCUUUAAUCAUUUUGAACCCACCUUCAUUUGAUACCUCCAAGAUUUUGUAUUACAAGAAAUUGCUCUUUCUUCACUCUUUCCAUGUUUGUCAUGAUUUCAUUGGCAUCUGUCACAUCCUUGAAAAAUUACUUUCCUUGCUGAAGAGACUCAUUUUAGUUUAUCUCCCUUAACAUGGAACCUCUUUCAUAUCUUUAAGUAUCUUGGCUAUUUCUUUCUUUAUUUUAUAUUUUUUUUAUCCUGUUUAUAUAGAAAGACAUCUCAUACAGUAAUUUGUACCUCCCUAAGCAUCAUUUUAUCAUUCAAGUACAGGAGAACUUUAUAUCCACUUUUGGCCGCAAAGAUGUGAAUCUGCAGAGAGUUUGGUUCUCCACAUUCAAUAAAUAUUAAGCAGUUUCUAUUUAUCAUGGAAAAAAUUCUAUUCUGGCUUGUGAUGUGGGUUCCAUAUUAAAAAAAAAAAAAGUAUUUAUUUAAUAUUUGUUUUGAUUAUUCCAUCUGAUGUUCUCCAAUCUGGUGGAGAGAAAACAAUAUGUUCUGUUAAUGACUAUGUUUUUAAUGUCUGAUGAAUUUUCUUCUGUGAGAGAAGGACACAGCUCUUUCAAACUCAGC
ensembl:lncRNA